rnacentral:rRNA from 1 species
GAUGAACGCUGGCGGCGUGCCUAAUACAUGCAAGUCGAGCGAACAGACCAGGAGCUUGCUCCUCUGACGUUAUCGGCGGACGGGUGAGUAACACGUGUAUAACCUACCUAUAAGACUGGGAUACUUUCGGGAAACCGUGUCUAAUACCGGAUAAUAUAUUGAACCGCAUUGCUCCAUAGUUAAAGACGGUUUUUCUUUCGCUUAUAGCUGACUCCGCCCCGCAUUAGUUAGUUGGUAAGGUAACGGCUUACCAAGGCAACGACGGGAAGCCGACCUGAAAGGGUGAUCGCCCACAUGGGAACUGAGACACGGUCCAGACUCCUACAGGAGGACGCGGUAGGGAAUCUUCCGCAAUGGGCGAAAGCCUGACGGAGCAACGCCGCGUGAGUGAUGAAGGUCUUCGGAUCGGAAAACUCUGUUAGUAGGGAAGAACAAAUGUGUAAGUAACUAUGAACGUAUUGACGGUACCGAAUCAGAAAGCCCCGGCUAACUACGUG